CUGUGCUAUGUUAACAUCUAGCCUUGUGAAUGGUGUUUUAUACUUGCAUCUCUCAUCAUCAUCUGCUCUGUCCUCAUAAUUAUGAAAAAUGAACUGUUAUGCACCCCCCUCCCCUCCUUGCUUGUUAGAGAAGUAAACUGAUGAGAGCACUGGAUGAGGGUCUAUCAUCUAUGGUCUGUUAUAAUUUGCUUUUUAUGCAAAUAGUGAGCAAAAAUUAAAGCAAAACUGUACAAGUUACAUAUAUAGUACUAUAUCAGUACUAUACACGAACUUUUAUCGAUGGAUAAUUUUGCGAGUUUUCAUCCAAUUCAAUCAUAUGUAUGCUCAAAAUCUUCGCGGUAAGUUUCUCUUUACCAUAAAAUUUGACCGAAUAAGUUUCAAAACAAUGCGACG
rnacentral:lncRNA from 1 species